rnacentral:rRNA from 1 species
AGGAGAGUUUGAUCCUGGCUCAGGAUGAACGCUAGCGGCAGGCUUAACACAUGCAAGUCGAGGGGCAGCGCGGUUGUAGCAAUACGACUGGCGGCGACCGGCGAAAGGGUGCGUAACGCGUGAGCGACAUGCCCGUUACCGGGGUAUAACCGAUGGAAACGUCGACUAAUCCCCCAUAACAUCAGAGGAGGCAUCUUCUUUGGUUGAAAUUCACGGAGGUGACGGAUUGGCUCGCGUCUGAUUAGCUAGUCGGCGGGGUAACGGCCCACCGAGGCGACGAUCAGUAGGGGUUCUGAGAGGAAGGUCCCCCACAAUGGAACUGAGACACGGUCCAUACUCCUACGGGAGGCAGCAGUGAGGAAUAUUGGUCAAUGGGCGGAAGCCUGAACCAGCCAUGCCGCGUGCAGGACGACGGCCCUAUGGGUUGUAAACUGCUUUUGCUGCGGAGCAAUAAGGGCCUCGAGCAGGUCCGAUGAGAGUACGCAGCGAAUAAGCAUCGGCUAACUCCGUGCCAGCAGCCGCGGUAAUACGGAGGAUGCGAGCGUUAUCCGGAUUUAUUGGGUUUAAAGGGUGCGUAGGCUGUGCGUUAAGUCAGGGGUGAAAUGCCGUCGCUCAACGACGGAGCUGCCCUUGAUACUGGCGUGCUGGAGUACGGAUGCCGUUGGAGGAAUGAGUGGUGUAGCGGUGAAAUGCUUAGAUAUCACUCAGAACACCGAUUGCGAAGGCAUCUGACGAAUCCGUCACUGACGCUGAGGCACGAAAGCGUGGGGAUAGAACAGGAUUAGAUACCCUGGUAGUCCCCU